rnacentral:lncRNA from 1 species
UAUAAAAAGGGAGAGCAGUGUUACACCUAAGUGGAGGGGAAAGGGAGCAGGGAGGAGAGACUCACGGUAGGAAAUAGAAAGGGGGGGGGCAUUGCCGACGCGGAUCCGCCAGGACAGGAGCCACCGGCCUCGCCCCAAACACACACCCACCCAGCACGACCCAGGGGAGGCCCCAGCGCGGGCGAGGCCCCACAACUCACCCUUCCCUCCCCCCGAAGCUACACAAGCCGACCCCUGCGGUCCCCAAAGUGAGCCCCCGGGGAGGGGGGGGAAGGGGGCGGCUCGGCCCACCCCACCAGCGACACCCUCAGCGAAGGCGCGCCCCAGGGAACCAGGCCAAGGCGCCCAGACCGGCCGACGGAGCAACCCACGGCAACACCCCGCCACCCAACAACCCAGGACGCAAUCGCCGCCCCCAAGAGCAGCCACCCCCAGCGCCACCCCCAUCCCGGACCCCCCGUCCCGAAGCCAAAAACCCCACCACCCCAGGCCCCCAGACGAGCCAACCCCUGAGCUACCCACCCGGCGCAGCAAUGCCCGCCCCCCAAGCAAAGGCCACAGCCCCCCCACCAGCAUCCCGGGCCGACAGGAGCCCCCCACGCCAAACCCAAUGGGAGAGCAGGCGCUGAGUGAAGGCGGAGGAGGGGGGGAGGACGAGACAGGGGGACAGACAGCAAAAGGAAAGAGUGGCAGAGAGACACGCAGGCCCCCAGAACCAAGGGCCACCCAGACGUGCACGAAGGGGGCAGGAGAGCAACACCAAACCGCCCAGGGACCACGAGAGCACCCGAAAGAGACGCACGCCCCCACAGAGGCACCCAAAACACCCCAGCAACCCACUCAAGCCACCCAGGUCAAGGCCACCCCACAAGCCCAUGGAGGUCCAGGACUACAGUUAGAUCAGUGUGUUAGUAAAGAGUGGUGCUGGCAGUUGCUUGCAGGCUCGAUCAUCAGGCUAAAAAUGAAAAAUCAAGAUUCAAUGCAAUUAGAAAAGGAGUUCAACGCUCCUCAAAGCAGGUUAUUUGAUUUUUUCUGAGAGCAGACAUCUUUUCCAU